rnacentral:lncRNA from 1 species
UCUAAGGCCCAUCUGCAACUGGCCGUGUAUAUAUAUUGCAAGCAACCCUAAAAAUCAUCACUUCCCAAUCCUAUCCACACAUAAGCCGCCGCCGCCGCUAGCUUCACGCACGAGCUGCCAGCCAACUACUCCGUUUCUCCUCCUGGGACAUUUUUGCGUGAGAGUUGAGGGCAGGGCAAGGGCCUCAGCAGCGUCGGCGGACUGUGCUCGCACGCCAUACUCGUAUCUCAAGCUCUCUGCGUGGCCUACAGGGUGCUCCUUGCAGGGUGCUCCAUCUUGCAGCUGCUCUCGGAGUCGCAGACCACGGACGUAAUCUCCAAUGUCAACGGAUCUACUGCUAACCAAGUCCUAGCCCUUUUCUCUGUAUUUUCUUUGGAUUUGUGAGAACGUGACUAAUGCUUGUUGCCUGAUACAGUGAAUUAUUCGUGCUCUGAUUUGCCCAUCUGCUUUUUCGUAUGUUGCCUGAUAAAGUGAAUUAUUCAUGCUCCGAUUUGCUUCUCCCUUACGUUUUUGGUGAUUCACAUGUUUCUUAAGUUGUGUCCAUCGGCUUGUUCGGUUGCCCAAACCCGCGAUACAUAGGAACGUAUAGGAGUACAACAUUAAAAUAAAUGAAUCCUACAUGGAUACGGGAGGAGCGGUGGCCGUGUGUGGGGCAAAUCCAGGCAAGAUGCACGAAGGCGGACAGCGCGAGCGAACAGAAAAAAGGCAGAAAAAAAGGCAGCCUGAAAUUUUCUCUCUUUUCUCUCUUUAUAGAUAGGUAUAGAAUUAUGAACUAACUAGGAUUAAAAAAUUCAUCUCGUAAUUUACAGGUAAACUAUGUAAUUAGUUUUUUUGUCUAUAUUUAAUGUUUCAUACAUGUGCUGCAAGAUUCGAUGUGACGGAGAAUCUUGAAAACUUUUUGGUUUUUAGAGUGAACUAAACAAGGCCUAAGAGCAUUGGCUAAAAAGAUUUGACAAAAAAAUAUUAGAAUACUCUAAGAGACUCUAUAAAGGAUGGCUAGUGAGGUAGCUUAUCCAAAAGUAGAAAGCAAAUAAGGUGAAACGAAGAAGUACUAAAUUUGGAGAGUCGUUUACAGAGUUUGUUGGAGACAUUUUUCCUUCAACAAUAGUCAAAUUUGCCUUUAGAAAAUAUUUUGGCUAAUCUCUUGGAGAUGCUUUAAGAGUUAAUUUUGAUUUGGAUGUUGCAACCUAUUUUUGUUGGUUCAGAUUUUUUAUUUUACUCCAACAACGUCCUCCUAAAUUGAGGCUUCCAAACCUUCAGAAUGAGAGAUGAGAUCCGCUUGUAAUUGUCUCUUCUUCCUCUGUACAGGAGUUAUUGGGAGAUGAGACCCCCUUGUCAUUGUCUCUUCUUCCGCGAGGGGCAUUGUUCCCAUGUGGCAGAGCAGUGGCUCCCGUGGUGGGGCAACGUGAUUGUGGGCGAGGGGCGGUGUGCCCGUGCCAUGGAGCAGGAGCUCACACAUCGAGGGGCGGAGGAGCCUAUGUAAUGGAGAGCGGUAGGGUUGUCAACAAAGUCAUGGGGAAGGGAGCUUGCCAACCGGGGGAGAUGCGCCGCCUCACCAAACGUGAGGUGGAUGGGCGCCCACGCUAGACGGGAGGGAGACACGCUUGAGCAAGGGAGGCUGUACGACGCACGAGGAACGAGCGGAUAGGGGUCGAUUUGUUGGGCUAACGAGAAUUGGUGCUAGAGGGAGGAUUUGGAGGUCCCAACCAAAUAUAAGGUCUUGAGUAGGAGCCCUAUUGGAGCAUGUUUUUUUCUCGGGCACCUAUAUUUAGUUAUAUGGACUUAAGUAGGGACCUGCUGGAGUUGCUCUAAAUGCGUAGUUUAGCUUUAAAUCUGUAUAUGUCUUAUCAUUCAUCAUCGUACGCAAGUAGGAUUCAUUUUAAU